rnacentral:rRNA from 1 species
GAUGAACGCUGGCGGCGUGCUUAACACAUGCAAGUCGAACGGACAGGCCCAAGCUUGCUUUGGUACUCGAGUGGCGAACGGGUGAGUAACACGUGGGUGAUCUGCCCUGCACUUCGGGAUAAGCCUGGGCAACUGGGUCUAAUACCGGAUAGGACCACAUUUUGGAUGGUGUUGUGGAACGUUUUUCGGUGUGGGAUGCGCUCGCGGCCUAUCAGCUUGUUGGUGGGGUACUUGCCUACCAAGGCGUCUACGGGGAGCCGGCCUGAGAGGGUGUACGGCCAGAUUGGGACGGAGAGACGGACCAGACUACGACGGGAGGCAGAAGUGGGGAAUAGUGGACAAUGGGCGAAAGCCUGAGGGAGGGAGGCCGCGUGGGGGAUGAAGGCCGGCGGGUGGGAAACUCAUUUCGCUAGGGACGAAGCGUUUUUGUGACGGUACCUGGAGAAGAAGCAACGGCUAACUACGUG